ACCGGGAGAUAGCUGGUUCUCCCCGAAAGCUAUUUAGGUAGCGCCUCGUGAAUUCAUCUCCGGGGGUAGAGCACUGUUUCGGCAAGGGGGUCAUCCCGACUUACCAACCCGAUGCAAACUGCGAAUACCGGAGAAUGUUAUCACGGGAGACACACGGCGGGUGCUAACGUCCGUCGUGAAGAGGGAAACAACCCAGACCGCCAGCUAAGGUCCCAAAGUCAUGGUUAAGUGGGAAACGAUGUGGGAAGGCCCAGACAGCCAGGAUGUUGGCUUAGAAGCAGCCAUCAUUUAAAGAAAGCGUAAUAGCUCACUGGUCGAGUCGGCCUGCGCGGAAGAUGUAACGGGGCUAAACCAUGCACCGAAGCUGCGGCAGCGACGCUUAUGCGUUGUUGGGUAGGGGAGCGUUCUGUAAGCCUGUGAAGGUGUGCUGUGAGGCAUGCUGGAGGUAUCAGAAGUGCGAAUGCUGACAUAAGUAACGAUAAAGCGGGUGAAAAGCCCGCUCGCCGGAAGACCAAGGGUUCCUGUCCAACGUUAAUCGGGGCAGGGUGAGUCGACCCCUAAGGCGAGGCCGAAAGGCGUAGUCGAUGGGAAACAGGUUAAUAUUCCUGUACUUGGUGUUACUGCGAAGGGGGGACGGAGAAGGCUAUGUUGGCCGGGCGACGGUUGUCCCGGUUUAAGCGUGUAGGCUGGUUUUCCAGGCAAAUCCGGAAAAUCAAGGCUGAGGCGUGAUGACGAGGCACUACGGUGCUGAAGCAACAAAUGCCCUGCUUCCAGGAAAAGCCUCUAAGCAUCAGGUAACAUCAAAUCGUACCCCAAACCGACACAGGUGGUCAGGUAGAGAAUACCAAGGCGCUUGAGAGAACUCGGGUGAAGGAACUAGGCAAAAUGGUGCCGUAACUUCGGGAGAAGGCACGCUGAUAUGUAGGUGAGGUCCCUCGCGGAUGGAGCUGAAAUCAGUCGAAGAUACCAGCUGGCUGCAACUGUUUAUUAAAAACACAGCACUGUGCAAACACGAAAGUGGACGUAUACGGUGUGACGCCUGCCCGGUGCCGGAAGGUUAAUUGAUGGGGUUAGCGGUAACGCGAAGCUCUUGAUCGAAGCCCCGGUAAACGGCGGCCGUAACUAUAACGGUCCUAAGGUAGCGAAAUUCCUUGUCGGGUAAGUUCCGACCUGCACGAAUGGCGUAAUGAUGGCCAGGCUGUCUCCACCCGAGACUCAGUGAAAUUGAACUCGCUGUGAAGAUGCAGUGUACCCGCGGCAAGACGGAAAGACCCCGUGAACCUUUACUAUAGCUUGACACUGAACAUUGAGCCUUGAUGUGUAGGAUAGGUGGGAGGCUUUGAAGUGUGGACGCCAGUCUGCAUGGAGCCGACCUUGAAAUACCACCCUUUAAUGUUUGAUGUUCUAACGUUGACCCGUAAUCCGGGUUGCGGACAGUGUCUGGUGGGUAGUUUGACUGGGGCGGUCUCCUCCUAAAGAGUAACGGAGGAGCACGAAGGUUGGCUAAUCCUGGUCGGACAUCAGGAGGUUAGUGCAAUGGCAUAAGCCAGCUUGACUGCGAGCGUGACGGCGCGAGCAGGUGCGAAAGCAGGUCAUAGUGAUCCGGUGGUUCUGAAUGGAAGGGCCAUCGCUCAACGGAUAAAAGGUACUCCGGGGAUAACAGGCUGAUACCGCCCAAGAGUUCAUAUCGACGGCGGUGUUUGGCACCUCGAUGUCGGCUCAUCACAUCCUGGGGCUGAAGUAGGUCCCAAGGGUAUGGCUGUUCGCCAUUUAAAGUGGUACGCGAGCUGGGUUUAGAACGUCGUGAGACAGUUCGGUCCCUAUCUGCCGUGGGCGCUGGAGAACUGAGGGGGGCUGCUCCUAGUACGAGAGGACCGGAGUGGACGCAUCACUGGUGUUCGGGUUGUCAUGCCAAUGGCACUGCCCGGUAGCUAAAUGCGGAAGAGAUAAGUGCUGAAAGCAUCUAAGCACGAAACUUGCCCCGAGAUGAGUUCUCCCUGACUCCUUGAGAGUCCUGAAGGAACGUUGAAGACG
rnacentral:rRNA from 1 species